CUCUCCAGGUGGCAUGGGAAAGAGAUUCCAGAAACCCUACCACACACAAUGCUUGAGAAGCAUGGUGCAGGUAUCUAUAGGCCCCUGCAGUGGUAGAGAACAGUACAGGAUGACCCAGGGCAGGGCAGAGGGACCUAACAAGGGUUAGAGAAGCUUGAGAUGAGAGCUUUGUGAUCAAAGGGAAUGAAGAGAACAGACAUCAAUCAGGACUGGGAAGAAUGCAACCUCAUAUUCAAGACAGGCACCAAAUGCCUACUGAGUUAUACAAACACAGACCAGGGCCAGACCUGCUUCACUGCAGCUGAAGACUCACCAAGAUGAAGAAGGGUCUGCAUCCACAGUUCCCUAAUGAACUAUCCUAACAAGCGGGUACAGUGGACAGUGUGUGCCGUUCCAGAGAAGCAGAGAAGACACCAGCAAUGUCACUCACACUCAGAAGCAGGAUGCUGAACCGGGAGACCAUCUCCCCUUGUUCCCAGAAAGCUCAAAAGAAAGGAGCAAGUACCUGCCAGCUCAGAGGUAAGACACAGAACAUCCUCAUAUACCCACUGAGCCCAGCGCAGCUCCCGCCUGUCAAAGGCAUUCUUUCUGAUCCUCUACUGUAUCCCAGAGCACCAAUGCCACCUCCCAUCUCACGGUAAGGUGCCAUGGUAAGCUUAGCCUAUGAACUGUCCCUACAGCCCGACAUUCUCCAACUGGGAGGCACCACCUGUCUUCUGCUAAAGAACCUUGACUCAGCAUUGGGCCUUGUGAUCACUCUGCAAGUGCUCUUGCGUAUUUCAGGAAAUAUGUCUGUUCCUCCAAUGGUUGGUUUUCAAGGCUUGCCCUGUCUGCGCCUCCUCCACUGGAACAGCCCGGAGGCAGUGCCAGAAGGCAGCAACAUAACAGAGGCAUCCAAGCCAGAAGCCCUCAGGAGCACAGCAGGCAACACUCGGGUGUCCUGUCCACAGGACUCCAUGGUGACUAUUAGGGAAGAAGGCCAGGGAGGCCUUGCUAGCAGCUCACACUUGCAGUCUGCCCAACUCCCUUUCUCUCUGGUCUGAACUCUAGCCUUUCCUCUACCCCAACACCCACUGUGACCUCCUACCUCGAGUGCCCUGGUGUUCUCUAUUAUUUCUGCUUACAGUCUAUAGUAAUAAACCUUCAAGUUCCCAAUGCAA